CAGUAGCCGCGGUAAUACGUAGGUGGCAAGCGUUGUCCGGAAUUAUUGGGCGUAAAGGGCUCGCAGGCGGUUUCUUAAGUCUGAUGUGAAAGCCCCCGGCUCAACCGGGGAGGGUCAUUGGAAACUGGGAAACUUGAGUGCAGAAGAGGAGAGUGGAAUUCCACGUGUAGCGGUGAAAUGCGUAGAGAUGUGGAGGAGCACCAGUGGCGAAGGCGACUCUCUGGUCUGUAACUGACGCUGAGGAGCGAAAGCGUGGGGAGCGAACAGGAUUAGAUACCCCGGUAGUCCCUGUCUCUUAUAC
rnacentral:rRNA from 1 species